GACGAACCGUGCGAACGUUGUUCGGAAUCACUGGGCUUAAAGGGCGCGUAGGCGGUCUGUCAAGUCAGGGGUGAAAGCCUCCAGCUUAACUGGAGAAGUGCCUUUGAUACUGGCGGACUCGAGUGAGGUAGGGGUUGUGGGAACUUCCGGUGGAGCGGUGAAAUGCGUUGAUAUCGGAAGGAACGCCGGUGGCGAAAGCGCACAACUGGACCUCUUCUGACGCUGAGGCGCGAAAGCCAGGGGAGCAAACGGG
rnacentral:rRNA from 1 species